UGGGCUAUAUGUUCUGUUUUGGUGGAUGGUGGAUUGCCCCAUCUGUCUAGUGAUGAAAAUGCUAAGACCAAAAUGUGUCGAUGUUCAUGGUCAAGUGUUUGAAAGUACUAAUCUCAUACCUAGUAUGGGAUAGGGAAGCAUAGUACCUAAUUGAACCGACAUGUGGGAAUACUCCCCGCUCUCUGUGGAACGGAGUUUCUCCUAGUGCACAAUGUGGGUACAAGUGCAGGCAUAGUACGACGACAAUCUAGGACCGUGGGGCAUUGUAUCCAAG
rnacentral:lncRNA from 1 species